UACGUAGGGGGCAAGCGUUGUCCGGAAUUAUUGGGCGUAAAGAGCGUGUAGGCGGUCCGGUAAGUCAGCUGUGAAAGUCAAGGGCUCAACCCUUGAAUGCCGGUUGAUACUGUCGGGCUAGAGUCCGGAAGAGGCGAGUGGAAUCCCGGUGUAGCGGUGAAAUGCGCAGAUAUCGGGAGGAACACCAAUGGCGAAGGCAGCUCGCUGGGACGGUACUGACGCUGAGACGCGAAAGCGUGGGGAGCAAACAGGG
rnacentral:rRNA from 1 species